GACGAACGCUGGCGGCGUGCUUAACACAUGCAAGUCGCACGAAGUGGCGCACGGGUGAGUAACGCGUAAUCAAACUGCCCUUCAGAGGGGGACAACAGUUGGAAACGACUGCUCAUACCGCAUACUGAAGGAGGGGCUUGCGUCUGAUUAGCUAGUUGGUGGGGUAACGGCCCACAAAGGCGAUGAUCAGUAGCCGGUCUGAGAGGAUGAACGGCCACAAUGGGACGGCGACACGGCCCAGACUUCUACGGGAGGCAGCAGUGGGGAAGCUUCCGAAAUGGACGAAAGUCUGACGGAGCAACGCCGCGUGAGUGAUGACGGCCUUCGGGUUGUAAAGCUCUGUUAAUCGGGACGCGGUACCGGAAUAGAAAGCAACGGCUAACUACGUGCCAGCAGCCGCGGUAAUUC
rnacentral:rRNA from 1 species